rnacentral:rRNA from 1 species
UACGUAGGGGGCAAGCGUUGUCCGGAUUGACUGGGCGUAAAGGGAGCGUAGGCGGUUUGGUAAGUCAAAUGUGAAAGCCCGUAGCUUAACUACGGAAUUGCAUUUGAUACUGCUAGACUUGAGUUCAGGAGAGGUAAGUAGAAUUCCUAGUGUAGCGGUGGAAUGCGUAGAUAUUAGGAGGAAUACCAGUGGCGAAGGCGGCUUGCUGGAAUGACACUGACGCUGAGGCUCGAAAGCGUGGGGAGCAAACA